rnacentral:ncRNA from 10 species
GUCGUUCAUCCGGUGAUUGAUUCACUGGACGCAAGUAAGCCGUUAUUGUUGCUGAAGGAACGGGAA